rnacentral:rRNA from 1 species
CGGAUUUACUGGGCGUAAAGGGCGUGCAGGCGGUUUGUUAAGUCUAGGGUGAAAGCUCCCGGCUCAACUGGGAGAGGUCAUUGGAUACUGGCGGACUAGAGGGGGGUAGAGGAAAGCAGAAUUCCUGGUGUAGCGGUGAAAUGCGUAGAUAUCAGGAGGAAUACCAGUGGCGAAGGCGGCUUUCUGGGCCUACCCUGACGCUGAGGAGCGAAAGCGUGGGGAGCAAACCGG